GUUGCUUUAUAUGGUGAACUCUCUCUUAAAACUGAAGUGAGGGAUGUUCAAGUUUCUGAAGCAUAAAUGAAUAGUCAAUAUUAAACAACAUAGUGUAAUUCAAUUGCAUCCUGCUACCUGUCUCCUACUAUAUUA
rfam:Capsicum annuum cultivar Zunla-1 chromosome 7, whole genome shotgun sequence